UGUGUGUUCGCUUGUUUUGUAUUGUUCUGUAGUUUCGACCCAAUGAUUCGUCUGACAAACAAAGAACUUUGCGUGCUACAGGCCCAGAUCAAAGCGGGCGAGACAUUCAAUGACGUCAUCUUCACAGACGAUUCAACCAUGGCCCUUGAGCAAUUUGCUCAAAACUGCUACAGAGAAAAAGGAAGAAGAUCAAGCAAACCAGGUCCUAAGCAUCCGCUCAAACUCCAUGUGUGGGGGGCAAUUUCUCACCAGGCCCAUAUUUGAUUUUUGAUGGCAUCAAGGCUCGAGAUUUCUUUGAGGAAGAAAUCAUCAAGAGAUAUGCUGGACCCAAUGUCAGAGGUGUUCCUGGGACCACAGCGUUUCUUUCAAGACAAUGACCCAAAACACACUGCCGCCCGGGUUUGCAUUGCAAAUGAGGACAUAAACCUGGUCAAGACGCCAGCAGAGUAAGUAGACCUUUAUGCAGUAAAAUAAAAAUAAAAAAGAAAGACCUAGAACACUCUACGGUAGACCUACAUUAUUUCUACA